rnacentral:lncRNA from 1 species
ACAGCAAGGAAGAAAUGAAAACUUGGAAAUUAAACUAAGGCGCUUACAAACCUGGUAGUUAUUUCACAAAAUGUGUCAAAUUUAAGAUUGGGAUCUUAGAUAAGGAAAACUUGAGGUCCUUUUUUCCUAUUUUCUUAAAUAUCCAUAAUAUAUUACUUCUGUUAAUGGGAAAUAUUAAUGAAAGAAAUUUACAGACAUUCAAUACUUAAAUUUAUGGGUUUCUUAGCUCAUUAUUUUUCCCCAAUAAGCAUUACAUGUUUUGAUAAAGAUAAUUUAAAUAUCACUUAAAAACAACUUUAGCUCUAAAGAUAUCAAAUUUCUGAAAGGCAGAAGGAGCUUUCAAAAUAUAUUUCACCUAGAACUGAAAGAGUUAUAAUGUCUGAAGGAAAAUAUAAGUUGUAAACUAUACAGUUUGCUGGGUAGUAGACAAGAGAAUCACUGUACAUAAGAAAAAGUAAUGGGUUAAAUAACUGACAGACAAAAAACACACACAUGCACAAGUCUGUGUGGUAGGCGUCACAUGUGCGAAAAAUUUUUUCACCCAGGGAGGAAACAAAAAAUUUGGUAUAAUUUUUCCUACAAGGCAAAAGUAGGCAGAAAUGUCAAAUGAUAUGACUUGUGUUAUAAGGAGACUGAAGGGAAGCAAGCUAAGAUUUGUACUGCGAUUUAUAUAAAUACUCAGAAAAGUAGCAUAUCGCUUGUGAUUGAAGUUAAGGAAAAGUAACAAGCACCUCAGAAACCAAGAGGGCUUUCAGCCUUUUUCUGGAUAGAUAGUUUGCAGUAAAGUCAUAAAAAAGCCCACCAGCAUUGGAGAGUAGUAUCUUGGAAUAAGUCAGGUAGAAAUAAAGCGGUGGUUUCCUUUAAGUUGUAUGAAUAAAGCAAAGUGUCAAAUUGUAUGUAGAGGACUAUAUAUAAGACCUUUUUAUACAGUAUAGUUUACUGCUUCACAUUUAAGUUUAGUUUUCAAUGUAAAGAAACUUACUUAAAAAAAAAACACUAUAUAUAAUCUUACAUAGCUCUUUCCAAAUGAAUUAGACUUGUCAACUUCAACUCAGUCAGUAUCUCUCUGGUCUUCUUCCUUUCCCUGUUGCUAGGAAAAAGGAAAAUUCACUAACAGUUAAUAGAGCAAGCUUAAUCUCACUGAUAAUCCGGCUUGCUUCAUGUAUAGGUGGCUGGGGUUACUCUUGCAGCUGCAUUCCAGAGAAGUCUCUGGGGCCAGAAGGUCCAAAUGACCUCACUCGUAUAUCUAAUACCUCAGCUGGGGUGAGAAAUGGCAGUUGCUUGGUGGGCCUCUUCCUUGUCCUUAGAAAUCACUCCAGGGAAUCCCAUAAUGCCUCUUCCUCCAGAUUCUACUGAUCAGAGCCUAUGGCAGAUCAGUAGGCCACACCAGAUUCAAGAGGUGAGGAAACUGACCCCAUGGCUUUAUGGAAAGAACUGUGUAUAUAUGUAUAUGUAUAGGACAUCCUAGAAGUUGUUGUCAUCAUCUUUGCAGACAAAGCAAAUACAACAAAUGCAUAACUUCUGAUUAGACUUUCCUUCUAGCCACACUCCUCCAGCUAAAUCAGAGGAUAAGCUUUGCUAUUUACUACUCUUGUGACCUUGAGCUUGUUACUUAGAGUAGAAGAAUAUAAUGCCCCCUUAAAGACUGAAUCAAAUAAUGUAUCUUAUAAACAUUGACCUAGCACAUGACAUUAAUAAAUAUGCAACAAAUAUUAAUUUAUUCAUCUCACUCUACUUUUUAAGAGGCAAUAUCCUUCAGAGAAAAUACAUUUAGAAAGCAUGCUUUCUGUGCCAAAAGGAAAAUACACUCUAAAGAAAUCUUGGAAAUACCUCCCAGAAAAAUUUUAAAUUGUAAUAAUCCUUGCUGUUGCUUCAACCGCUUAAACCUGUAACCUGCUAUUCGGCAUAUUUCUUAUCUGUUUUGAAACAUCUUGGUAAGAUUAUUCACAUUUCUACUAGACAGCAUUUUUUUAAUAGUAAUCCUGACAUUACACACCUCAAACUACUGUAUAAUAGACUAAAAAAAGCUUAGGAACAUAAGAUUUGGAUAUAAAAAGAUAGGCAUUUACCAGUAAAAUAAAUGUCAGAAAUGUUUCCCCUUUAAAAGUCAUUAGCUGUCAUUUUAAGGAAUAUUUAGAAUGGUGCAUAUAGAAAACUCUCAGAAUAAAAUUUAAAUAUUUUCUUAAAUUAGAAUUAAUACUUAUAACCACAGUAAUGAAGAAACCCUAAUACUAUUUUUAAAAUACCCUUUGGCAUUGAUUAUUCUAUCAACCAGUUUCAAAUAUAAACAUUUAAAAAUAAAACUAUAGGAGUUCCCGUCAUGGCUGAGUGGUUAAUGAGUCUGACUAGGAACCAUGAGAUUUCAGGUUCGAUCCCUGGCCUCACUCAGUAGGUUCAGUAUCCGGCGUUGCUGUGAGUUGUGGUGUAGGUCACAGAUGCGGCUCGGAUCUGGUAUUGCUGUGGCUGUGGCAUAGACCAGCGGCUACAGUUCCAAUUCGACCCUUAGCCUGGGAACCUCCAUGUGCCGUGGGUGCGGCCCUAGAAAAGACAAAAUAAAUAAACUAAAAUAAAAAUAAAACUAUAGCAACACAAGCAAGCAUAGUUUAUAUUGGAACAACCGAAAGAAAUGAUGUCACAAUAGGAAAAUUUUAGUACUGUAUUACGAAGUGCCACUGAUUUAUGUAGUAUGUGAAGUGACACAGAGAAUGUAAUUCCUGUUUCAUGAAACUGCUCUUACAGAGGUUUAUAAAAAUAUAUGGAAGAAAGGAGUUAGCUGAUUUUAAAUCAGAUUGUUGGAAAUAAGAUUAUUGUCUCUAUUUCCCAGGAGGAGCUGUUACACAGACUUUAAAGAUGAGUGUUGAGCUAGCAUAUACUUUGUGCACAUUUUCCUCCAAAAUGCAGAGGCCUUCUGUGCCCCCCAGGACUAAAUUCCUAGGGAUAAAAUUUUAGACUGAUUGGUGGGGGGAGUGAAAUAAUCUGCAAGGCAUUACGGCCUUAGUAAGAGGACUGCUGCCUUCACCAUGGCUGAACUUUGGGCAUGUUGUACCCAGUGCAGUGAAAAGCAUGAGAAUGUUUGUUUAUUUAUUUAUUUUCUUUUUUUUUUUCUUUUUAGGGCCACACCCACUGCAUAUGGAGGUUCCCAGGCUAGGGGUCGAAUUGGAGCUGUGGCUGCUGGCCUACACCACAGCCACAGCAACACCCGGUUUGAACCACAUCUGUGACCUACAUCUCAGCUCAUGGCAAUGCUGAAUUCACUGAGUAAGGCCAGGGAUGGAACCUACAUCCUCAUAGGUACUAGUUGGGCCUGCUGAGCCACAAUGGGAACUCCUAAGAAUGCCUAUUUCUAAUCUUAGGACAUUGUCAUCUUGUUGGCAUGAUCCAUUUCUAAAGAAGUAUACAUGAUGUUUUUUCUCGUUAUAUAUUGCUGUGAAGAUAGUCAUAUUUCUGAAAUCACCUCCAAGUAUCUGAUUUCUAUAUCUUAAAAUGAAGGCUGGAUUUUAUAUUCAUUUGGGGACACAAUGAAUGAAGGAACAUUUGAGAAUUGCUACUCUCAUUGACGAUCUGCUGAUUAAAAGAGAGUAAUUUUUAGAGAUAUGCUUGUAUAUCUAGAUGCACUAUUUCCACCAAAAAAAAAAAAAAACAAAAACAAAAACACAACAAAGACUUAUUCAAAAGCAAACUCCACCAGACCAAUAUAGUUAUUUUCUGCAAUAGAAGCUUGGCAUGUUUAACUAGGAAACAAUUUCUAUUUUGAAUGUAAUAUUGCUCUUAUUUGAACAUCUCAUCUUUGAAUGUAUUCUAUGGGGAAAUAUACUCCUGUGUCCAACUUGAACCAUAAUUAUUGGAGUGUGGUAUCAAUCUUUGGCAACAAGUAAUGGGAAAGAGAUUUGUCCUAUUCAAUAGCUACAUUGAUGACUUGGAUGAAGAAACAGAGAAACAGCAAAUAUAUAAUUCUAUAUUAUUUUGUAUUCAAAGUGGAAAUAAAAGGAGUUCCCACUGUGGCACAGUAGGUUAAGAACCCAACUGCACUGGCUCAGGUGCUGUGGAGGCAUAGAUUUCCAGGCAUGAUCCCAGCCCUGUGCAGUGGGUUAAAGGAUCUGGCAUUGUCACCGCUAUGGCAAAGAUGACAGCUGUGUCUUGGAUUCAGUCCCCUGACCUGGGAACUUUCAUAUGCAGUGGUGCGGCCUUAAAAAAUAAAAGCAGCCAAAAAAAAAAAAAAAUGUUUCUAAAGAGAAUGUAACUAGGAAAAGGUUUAAAGAAGUCACAUAAUACAGCAUGACGAUACAAGAAAGGGCUGCUGAAAUACAAAUGUAAUAUUAACAUUGGACCUCAUUCCCAUCCCACCUCCCACAAGGUACUAGGCCACAUCUUACCUGCUUUGUGAGAUGGAAUCACCACUUUACAGAUGAGAAAUAGUGGCUUCAAUGAGGACAUGAUUUACUUAAGUGACAGAUGCAUGUCUGUGAAUUGGAGAAGACCUUUCACUUUAGACCUGCCAGAAUUAUAUAGAGGAGAGGGUUUGGAAGCUGUCUUACAUGCAUGAGACAUUCAAGCAAUUCAUUUGAUCUUUUGUGGUCUGUUUUCUCACCUGUUAAAUGGAAUUAACAAUGCAUGUUUAAUUAUGAGCUUGCAGCCAUAAUUUAGUGUAUGCUAAUUAUGCCAUUUUUAAGAAAGCCGAAAUGUUUUAUGAGGCAUAAGUUAAAGAUAGAUUAAAUAAAGAUGAGAACUACACCAAUAAAUUUUAUUAUUGGGCAGGAUUUCACUAAUAUUUUUUAAAAUUAAUCCAUUUAAUGUAUUUUUCAAAAACAUUUAAAUCUGACCAUACUUCUCACUUCUGGUCACCAUAAAUAAAUAUGAGGAUCUCAUGAAGAAUGACAGUGAUGAGUAGGUUUCAGAAUAUUUCCUAUAAAAAGGUGGUAGAAGGAAUUAAGGUUCUAUAACUUUUAACAGUUAUUCCAAUUUGACUGUUACCAUCAAGCAAAUUAAAUUUUGUUCAGAAAAAGAUACUGUGCCAUCCUCAGUAGCAAGAAGUGACUAAGUAGGAGAAUAUGAAUCAAAACUAAGAUUUUUACAUUAAACUAUAAUUCAGGAUAAAGAGAUAAUAAUAUUCAGACCUGUAAAUUGGAAUUUUGUGACUGAACAUUUGACUAUACUUUUAGAUGAUUAAUUUAGUUACAUGAAAUCAGAUGAUAUCAGUUCUCUUUAACUUGCUUUUGGGUCUAUUCUCUGUGAAUGAUUUGAUAUUAACAGAAUAUUAUGGUUGAAUGGAAAUACAGCUUUUAUACAUAGGUCUUUAAUUAAGUUCAUUUCUCUAGGUAUGAAGUAUAUCUGGGGGCUAAAUUCUCUGAAAUUAAAUGUGGCAUCUAAGAAGUGACUGCUUUAGUAAAACUGUAAAACUUACUACUUUGAUACUUUAAUAGUUAUUGCUAUUCCCUAUUCCUAGGGGUAUGAUAGGACUAAGUUUUCCAGAAUCUGAACUCACUAUU